UGCUGAAGUUGCUGAAAUUGCUAAAUUGCUAAAGCUGCUAAACGCUAAAGCUGAUGGCCAGCUAAAAUAUUAGCUAAAUUCCAAAUUAACCGAAAAAACUAACCAAAAAAAAAGAAGCAAUACAAGCCUUUGGACCGACCCAUUUGUGAUUACGAACACUGUAAACCCUAAAAAUCACUUUCUUGCAAACCUCAAUUCCUUUAUGCAACAAGAAAAGCUCUGAUGUUGAAGCUAAAAGUCAGAGGAUCUAGGGAGGAGCCUUGUGGUGCUCCAACAUUACAGCUGCCUCGCCGCGCAGCACAAACACCUGCCGAUCUCCAACCGCACUGACACAGAAGUCCCCUCUGCCUGGUGAUAACCUGACCUUUAGUGUGCGACGGGAAAAGACGCGGCGUGGACGUUUGUGAAGAGGCUGUGACAUCUCUCUUUCCCUGCUGUGCUCCACCACUCGCUCCAUUUCGCCUUGUUUACUCACUAUUUAUGACUUUUUUCCCUCUCUGCACACACGCUUCUCCCUCCGCUUUGAUCUGUGUGUUCUGAAGUGUUUUUGAAACGCUCGUCUUUUGUUCCCGCCCGAGUCCCGUCUUUUCUCCUACGAGCAGCGUCUUCAGAGGCGCAGAGGCGUCCGUUUCUGUCAUCCUUCUCUGUCGUCUUUGUGUGCGUCUGAGCUGCAGAGUGUCUCUGUAUGUGGGCCUCUGCAAACCUGCAGAGAAACUGACUACACAAUGACUUCACAAUGGCUGCCGCGCCGUUAUCUUGACAGCAGAGGAGCCUCUUUUUGUCUGCAGUCGACUUUGUCGUCAAAGGCCUGCGUGUCCAAGAGCAUCGUUUUUCCCUGAAGGACCACCAGAGAGGGCACGUUUGAGAACUCUGACUUUUUACCCACAAAAGACAGGAGAUGGUAGUAAAGCAAGAAUGAAAGGGGAGGUCAAGGAUCCCAUUAGCGAUACCUUGAACUCUCUUGUUGAGGCUCCUUAAAACUGUAAUGACUGGGAAUUUGUCGAGUUUUUUUUAUGUUUCUGUCACAAAAAAAUGGGAAAAAGUGUCAAAAUAACCAUUUCUCAUCUUGAUUGACAACCACAGAUGGAAACGUGGGAUGCAACCUGGAAUCUGUGCAACCAUUAGGUCAAACAUUGGUUUUCCUUCAAUCUCAAACCCAUAUUAUGCCAAUAUCAAGACUAACAGUUCUCGACUGGCUGGAGACACCUGGAAUGACUUUAAGGCAGCAUCUUGAAACUCAAACAGAGACACAACCUAUCCAUCCAUGUCCAUCCAUCUUCUCAAUGUGGAGAAGUCGGUACUUAUCUUUGGAUACCAACACUGUUGGCAUUUUAUUGUUGAUUUCUUGACCAUAGGUUGUUACUUUUUGCAUGAAUUUUCUAAAAAAAAAAAAAAA